GCGAAGGUGGCGGAAUUGGUAGACGCGCUAGCUUCAGGUGUUAGUGUCUUAACGGACGUGAGGGUUCAAGUCCCUCUCUUCGCA
rfam:Pantoea ananatis LMG 20103, complete genome.